rnacentral:rRNA from 1 species
GUCUAUGGCCAUGCUACCCUGAACAAGCCCAAUCCCGUCUGGUCUCGAAGCUAAGCAGGGUCGGGCCCGGUUAGUACUUAAAUGGGAGAUCACCUAGGAAGACCAGGUGCUGUAGGCA